CUGUGUGUGUGUGCCAUUCAUUUUAAAGUGAUGGUUCGGAGUAAUUUCACCCUAAGGUCCUUUGCACCACGAUCCCGGAGCCAAACAACCCCCCGAAGCUUUUUUCACCUGGGUCGAACGUUGGGCGAGUUAGCGCUAUCAGCUGAUUAGCUUAAUACAGGCCUUAAUGGAACCAAGUGUGUUUCUUGUAAA